GAUGAACGCUGGCGGCGUGCCUAAUACAUGCAAGUCGAGCGAACGGACGAGAAGCUUGCUUCUCUGAUGUUAGCGGCGGACGGGUGAGUAACACGUGGAUAACCUACCUAUAAGACUGGGAUAACUUCGGGAAACCGUAGCUAAUACCGGAUAAUAUUUUGAACCGCAUGGUUCAAAAGUGAAAGACGGUCUUGCUGUCACUUAUAGAUGGAUCCGCGCUGCAUUAGCUAGUUGGUAAGGUAACGGCUUACCAAGGCAACGAUGCAUAGCCGACCUGAGAGGGUGAACGGACACACUGGAACUGAGAAACGGUCCAGACUCCUACGGGAGGCAGCAGUAGGGAAUCUUCCGCAAUGGGCGAAAGCCUGACGGAGGAACGCCGCGUGAGUGAUGAAGGUCUUCGGAUCGUAAAACUCUGUUAUUAGGGAAGAACAUAUGUGUAAGUAACUGUGCACAUCUUGACGGUACCUAAUCAGAAAGCCACGGCUAACUACGUG
rnacentral:rRNA from 1 species